rnacentral:lncRNA from 1 species
CAGGGGGUUGCAGAUGGCCACGUAGCGGUCGUAGGGCAUUGUGGCCAAGAGGAAUCAUUCUGUAGUGGCAAAAGCACCGGAGAAGUACAGCUGAGCAAAACAGCCUGAAAAGGAGAUGGUUUUUUUCUUCACCAAUACAUUUUGCAGCAUCUUGGGCCCAAUAGAAGAUGAGUAACACAGAUCAAUGAAUGCCAGGGUGAUGAGAUAAAUGACAAGGAACACCACAAAGAGGGGGAGCUGCAGCUCAGGACGGUCUGUGAAUCCCAUGAGGACAAAUUCGGUCACUGUGGUACGAUUGCCUUUUGUCAUGUUCUCUCGCCUGCUGCAAAAAAU